rnacentral:rRNA from 1 species
UUCAGAGGUCUCGAGCGUUGUUCGGAUUUACUGGGCGUAAAGGGAGCGUAGGCGGCCGGGUGUGUCGAAUGUGAAAGCCCACAACUCAACUGUGGAAUGGCAUUCGAAACUACCUGGCUAGAGUACUGGAGAGGAGAGCGGAAUUCUUGGUGUAGCGGUGAAAUGCGUAGAUAUCAAGAGGAACACCGGUGGCGAAGGCGGCUCUCUGGACAGAUACUGACGCUGAGGCUCUAAAGUUAGGGGAGCAAACAGGAUUAGAUACCCCGGUA